AAGUGAUAAGAAAUUGUCUUAGAAAUACAUUUAUAACCAACUAUUCAGAUCAAUAUCAAAAUCUAAGGGCCAAAUAUAUAACAUUGCCUGCCUCUUUGGAUUCCUGCUCAUGAAUACCAAUCACACCUCCCCCUAUCUUUCACAGACGUCCUCCACUCUCUCUCUCUCUCUUCUUGGUUUACCUAUGGCAACUUUGUUGAAAUUCGAGUGCACUAUUUGAUCAAAUACAAGGUAGAUCAGUCGACACAACCAGCGAGAAAGAGAAAGCGCCAUCAAGAUCGAUAUAGGGGGUUCUGAAAUGGACAGUAGGAGAAUUACUACCAGUCCUUGGCUGUGAUGACCGAGAAAGGUUUGAUUGCGUUUCUCAUUUAUAUUAUGUAAUUUGUUUCUCAUUUACAGUGUAAAUUGUUUCUCAUUUACUUCUCACAACCAAGGAUAUUGCCUCAAUUAAAAUUUGUCUCUUUCUCCCUCUAUAUUUUGUGUCUUCAUGCAUACACCAUGUUAGGUAAAAGCCUUAAUUAAAAUAGUUUAUUUUCUUUUGGUUAAACCAGUUGUUUAUAUAAUUCCACCUUUUUGUUGUUCAAAUAGUGAGUGAAUCUAUUAUAACAGACCAAGUAAAUUACUAAACAACCUUUCCAAAAUGUAGUGUGUGGUAGUAAGUUUAGCAAAAACAGAGGUACAUUCAAAUGGGUAAUGCAAACAGUGGGAGUUGGAUAUUAUUUUUAGUAGGCAAUUUUUAGGGAGUUGAUUUUGGAUAAUGGAUAAUGGUGCUUGCUUACUUAUAUUUUCUAUUAUUUGGAAUGACAUAGGCACGAAUUUAUUACGAUCAUUUGAAACUUUCAUUUGGCUCUAAGAUUAAAAAUUUAAAACUUCCACUCUCUCUAUGUGAUGCUUUUAAUUUUAUUUUUGGAGAUAUAGGCCCCCAAAGUCCAUCAAGGACCAAGGUUGAGAGCUGCGAGUUUUCUCUAUUCCAACUGCGCCUUCCAGUAAGUUUCUCCUUUAUUCCCAAUUUUACUACCGUUAAAUUAAGUUCCAUUUGGGUACUCUCUCUCAUGCUUUUGUGUUUUUGUGGGUAUGCUUUCUUUCAUAUUUUGGCUUUGUCAAUUGAUUUGGUAAGCAAUUUCAUCAAAAAAAAAUUUUGUUAACCAAUGCUUUUAUCAAUUGAUGUCAUGAAAUGGUUAUGUAAUAUAUCUUUUUUUGUUUCAAAUUAGAAGGUACUCCCUAUGAUUUUAUUUUUCCUUUAAAAUGAGUGGUUCCUUCGCUACAUAGCCGUGGUGUGUCAACCUCUUAAGCAAUUUCGGUGUUCAUAUUAAUUCAAACCAUGGACAAUAUCAAUAUCAACAUCAAUAUUGAGGCCUAAUUUUUACUUAUUAUUAUAUCUAAUUUCUUCAUAAUAAAAUGCUUUUGUAUCAUGUUUAACAGCUGGACAAACGGGAAUAUUAGAUCCAUAUACCAAUUUUUUUUUUUAUUUAAUCUGCAUGUUCUUAAUAUGAGUUGAACUACAUGUAAAUAUGACAUAACUUUCAUCAUUGUAGUUUUUGUAUGUUUUUUUUCCUCUUAAGUUAUCUGCCAAUUGGGGUUUUGUACUAAAAAGACAAUCUCCAACACUAGAAAAUGUACUGAUACAAUGCCAUCGAAGUUACAAAAACACACACGUACGCUGCAUCUGCAGCUGGUACUCUAAGCAGUUGCUUGUCUUUGGGCCCAUUGUCCUAUGCUACCAUGGUGGUGAACUGAAGGAAGAUUGGUUGCUGAUGGAUUAUUAUGAGAGCUCUACAGCAACUUACCAUUUUCUUUCAAUGGUGGUCAUCCCUGUUCCUAUGCUUCUAGAGACCUCAGCUUCAGCUUUAAUCUUACAAGCCUUACAUCAGUUCACAUUUGCAGCCUUAUUAGCAGCCUUAGUGACACGUGAAUGUGACCCCCCCCCCCAAAAAAAAAAAUUGACAAGUAGUUCUGUUAGCACUUGAUCUUUUCUUGUAACAUGUAGUUUGAAUUGUUCAUCAUCUUUAACAUCUCUUGUGGUCAAAAGUUAUGAAUCUCUUGAUUGCCUAUUGUAAUAUCUCUUCACUUUUACAUAUACAUCAUGCACUUUGAUCAUGUAAUGCAAGUAGUUUUUGUGAAUAUUAUUUGCACAUAGAUUGGCAAGCAUAAGUUAUCGCU